rnacentral:rRNA from 1 species
UACAGGGGGGGCAAGCGUUGUUCGGAAUUACUGGGCGUAAAGGGUUCGUAGGUGGCCAACUAAGUCAGGCGUGAAAUCCCUCAGCUUAACUGGGGAACUGCGUCUGAUACUGGAUGGCUUGAGUGUAGGAGAGGAAUGCGGAAUUCCAGGUGUAGCGGUGAAAUGCGUAGAUAUCUGGAGGAACACCGGUGGCGAAGGCGGCAUUCUGGACUACAACUGACACUGAGGAACGAAAGCCAGGGGAGCAAACGGG